UACGGAGGGUGCAAGCGUUAUCCGGAUUCACUGGGUUUAAAGGGUGCGUAGGCGGGUAGGUAAGUCAAUGGUGAAAUCUUCGAGCUUAACUCGGAAACUGCCUUUGAUACUAUCUAUCUUGAAUAUUGUGGAGGUAAGCGGAAUAUGUCAUGUAGCGGUGAAAUGCUUAGAUAUGACAUAGAACACCUAUUGCGAAAGGCAGCUUACUACGCAUAUAUUGACGCUGAGGCACGAAAGCGUGGGGAUCAAACAGG
rnacentral:rRNA from 1 species